UGGGGAAUUUUGGACAAUGGGCGAAAGCCUGAUCCAGCAAUGCCGCGUGUGUGAAGAAGGCCUUCGGGUUGUAAAGCACUUUUGUCCGGAAAGAAAUCCUUGGCUCUAAUACAGUCGGGGGAUGACGGUACCGGAAGAAUAAGCACCGGCUAACUACGUGCCAGCAGCCGCGGUAAUACGUAGGGUGCAAGCGUUAAUCGGAAUUACUGGGCGUAAAGCGUGCGCAGGCGGUUUGCUAAGACCGAUGUGAAAUCCCCGGGCUCAACCUGGGAACUGCAUUGGUGACUGGCAGGCUAGAGUAUGGCAGAGGGGAGUAGAAUUCCACGUGUAGCAGUGAAAUGCGUAGAGAUGUGGAGGAAUACCGAUGGCGAAGGCAGCCCCCUGGGCCAAUACUGACGCUCAUGCACGAAAGCGUGGGGAGCAAACAGGAUUAGAUACCCUGGUAGUCCACGCCCUAAACGAUGUCAACUAGUUGUUGGGGAUUCAUUUUCCUUAGUAACGUAGCUAACGCGUGAAGUUGACCGCCUGGGGGAGUACGGUCGCAAGAUUAAAACUUAAAGGAAUUGACGGGGUCAUAGCUGUUUCCU
rnacentral:rRNA from 1 species